rnacentral:rRNA from 1 species
AUUGAACGCUGGCGGCAGGCCUAACACAUGCAAGUCGAGCGAGCGGCGGACGGGUGAGUAAUGUAUGGGGACUGCCCGAUAGCGGGGGAUAACUACUGGAAACGGUAGCUAAUACCGCAUACUAUCGGAUAACCCAUAUGGGAUUAGCUAGUAGGUGAGGUAAUGGCUCACCUAGGCGACGAUCCCUAGCUGGUCUGAGAGGAUGAUCAGCCAAACUGGGACUGAGACACGGCCCAGAGUCCUACGGAGGCAGCAGUGGGGAAUAUUGCACAAUGGGCGCAAGCCUGAUCCAGCCAUGCCGCGUGUAUGAAGAAGGCCGUCGGGUUGUAAAGUACUUUUGGCAGAGAAGCGGUAACUGCAGAAGAAGCACCGGCUAACUCCGUGCCAGCAGCCGCGGUAAUUC